GUUAUCAUUAAUUGGGGGUAAAAAUCUAGCUGAUACAAUUAAAAAUAUUUUGCUCUUACUGCCAACAGACACUAUUUUGUCAGAAUACAGCAUGAAUUGUUUAAAGAAGAAAAAAAAGUUUAAAUAGUUGACAAGUCUAUGAAACUCUGUCACUGAAGCUGCUUUAAAGUCAAAUAAUAACUUAACCAAAAUGGAUGCUAUCCAACU
rnacentral:lncRNA from 1 species